rnacentral:rRNA from 1 species
CCUACGGGAGGCAGCAGUGAGGAAUAUUGGUCAAUGGGCGCGAGCCUGAACCAGCCAAGUAGCGUGAAGGAUGACUGCCCUACGGGUUGUAAACUUCUUUUAUACAGGAAUAAAGUGCGGCACGUGUGCCUUUUUGUAUGUACUUUAUGAAUAAGGAUCGGCUAACUCCGUGCCAGCAGCCGCGGUAAUACGGAGGGUCCGAGCGUUAUCCGGAUUUAUUGGGUUUAAAGGGAGCGUAGAUGGGUUGUUAAGUCAGCUGUGAAAGUUUGCGGCUCAACCGGAAAAUUGCAAUUGAUACUGGCAGGCUUGAGUACAGAUGAGGUAGGCGGAAUUCGUGGUGUAGCGGUGAAAUGCAUAGAUAUCACGAAGAACUCCGAUUGCGAAGGCAGCUUACUAAACUGCCACUGACGUUGAGGCUCGAAAGUGUGGGUAUCAAACAGGAUUAGAUACCCUUGUAGUC